UACAGAGGGUGCAAGCGUUGUUCGGAAUUAUUGGGCGUAAAGCGCGUGUAGGCGGCUUGGCAAGUCGGGUGUGAAAGCCCUCAGCUCAACUGAGGAAGUGCGCCCGAAACUGCUGAGCUUGAGUGCCGGAGAGGGUGGCGGAAUUCCCCAAGUAGAGGUGAAAUUCGUAGAUAUGGGGAGGAACACCGGUGGCGAAGGCGGCCACCUGGACGGCUACUGACGCUGAGACGCGAAAGCGUGGGGAGCAAACAGG
rnacentral:rRNA from 1 species